rnacentral:lncRNA from 1 species
GAAAAGAAAGGCUUCCCUAGAAUCAAGUAAGUUGCAUAAUUCUGAGUCCACAUCCAAUUUUUGCAACCACCUAUCUAAUUAGCACAUAUUCAAAAUUUGGCAAAAAAGUAGAAGUAAUAGAUAGCUAUGCAAUCAUAAGAAUACACCAAAUUAAGAUAACCCUAAAAAACUGUUAACUAAAACUAAAAAAAAAUGUAUCUAACAAAAACAUAAAAAAAUGCAAAAAUUAAAAGCAUCUUAAUUCUAAAAUAAAAUAAAAAAUAAGAAAAAAGCUGAUUAAAACAAGUUAAAAGCUUGAUAGAUUUAACAAAAAGGAAAUUCAGUCCAGCCUUCCAAGCCACCGUCAUCAUCAUCGACAUCGUCUUGCUCCUCAUUGCUGUCUUUAGAAUCAAUAUCAUGGACACCCACUCCAUCAUCCGGUUGCACUUGGUGAGCUUGAUAAAAAAUCUAAGGAGGUCUCGGAAUGGUGUAGUCCUACAACUACCAAUAGUGCAUCAUCGAGUUCUAUAGCCAAUGCAUAUUCAUUUAUUAAUGACACAUCAUCUCUUGUUAAUUCUAAAGAAUUCCCAUCAUUUGAGCUUGAUCAUGUAGCAACUUAUAAUCCUAAUAUUGAAGCCCAUGAAUUUGCAUUUCCAACCUGCAAAUUUGUUGCUCAAACUCUAUGGGCUUCCGAUUCUCAUCCAUCUGCACAAAAUUAUAAGCCAUCUAGUUCUUAUAUGGCUCAUCUCUAGUAAGCAGAGGAUGAAAAGGAGAAGAAAAAGGUCGAUCUGUUGGAGGGAUAGUCGACAUACCAGGGGUAGUUGUGGUAAAUGGUGGUGGGUUAGUGUGCAAAUCAAACUCAAAAAGUGAUCUUGCAAAGAAGGUAUGUUAGGCAGAAUUCGCUUAUCCUUACCCAUCUCUAAACCCAUCAAUUUCGGCAAUCCAUCCAAUGUCAUCACCGAUAGGCCUUCAAAAAUACCCAGAUUCUUUACAAGCCUUGUAAUGUACAUACCUCUGCAUAAACAUCCUUUGUCCAAUUUCUUAGCCUGCUCAAGUAAAUAUACUAAUAGAUACAAGAAAACAUUACACUAAAUACCCUCUUCCAAGCACGUUAAAUAAAAUAAAUCUUCUUGUGUGCAAUGCCUACCACUCUCACCUUUACCGUAAUCGUAGUAGUUAAAAAUAGUGCAUAAAUCAUAGGGGGAAAUAAUCAAAAGUGGAUUUUUUGGAUUUAGAGGUCACAAACCUAGGCGUAAUAGGUGAGGAUGAAGGGUGAAGGGAAGAUUUCUCCUCCUAAACUUAGUUGGAUGUGGUGUGGGUGAUUUCAUCCUACGCUAUCUCUAGAUGGUGGGGAGAUAGAGAUGGUGAUGAAGGAACAUCAUAUAUAUGGUUAUCUCUAGAACUCAUAGCUUAUGGUGAAAAGAAUGUGAAAUCUAGAGGAAGCAGAAUAAGUUCUAUUUAUAGAGUUAUUACAAGAGUUCUAAUCCUUGUUGAAAUUGGAAUGUUUCUUAUAACAAAACUAGGAUUCUAGAUUUCUCAAUAAAAAAUAAACUCUUAAUUCCUAC